CCCUCCUUUGGGGUUUUACAGUGAGCCCAGGACAGAGCCUAUUCCAAAUCUUCUCACUGCUCUCAGGACUUUCAAGAUAGGCAAUAUGGAACAUUUACUUGCCACUCUGCAGCAUUUUUUUCCUUCAGAAAAGGAAAAAGAAAACAUGCAAGGAAAAAAAGAUCAGUUGUGCCUUUCAGUUUUAAUCUUGUUCGAUUUUCUUUGCCAUGAAUUGCAAGUAGAUAAAAGGAGAGAGCUUUGUUUGGUAUCACUCCCAUAUGACAUGGUUGGACGAACAAUUCUGCCAAACAUUCUUCAAUGCAAUUUUUUCCCUCCAAGGCAAAGGCUAUACUGCAGUAGAUAUCACAGUAAAGGAAGUUGAGUCAAAGGAUACCUCUCUUCACUACUGAAAGCAGCAGAAAGCCUUAGGAAUGUACAGAGAAGACUAGCCCUUUAUCUAGAUA